GAUGAACGCUGGCGGCGUGCCUAAUACAUGCAAGUCGAGCGAACAGAUGAGGAGCUUGCCCCUCUGACGUUAGCGGCGGACGGGUGAGUAACACGUGGAUAACCUACCUAUAAGACUGGGAUAACUUCGGGAAACCGGAGCUAAUACCGGAUAAUAUAUUGAACCGCAUGGUUCAAUAGUGAAAGACGGUUUUGCUGUCACUUAUAGAUGGAUCCGCGCCGCAUUAGCUAGUUGGUAAGGUAACGGCUUACCAAGGCAACGAUGCGUAGCCGACCUGAGAGGGUGAUCGGCCACACUGGAACUGAGACACGGUCCAGACUCCUACGGGAGGCAGCAGUAGGGAAUCUUCCGCAAUGGGCGAAAGCCUGACGGAGCAACGCCGCGUGAGUGAUGAAGGUCUUCGGAUCGUAAAACUCUGUUAUUAGGGAAGAACAUAUGUGUAAGUAACUAUGCACGUCUUGACGGUACCUAAUCAGAAAGCCACGGCUAACUACGUG
rnacentral:rRNA from 1 species